GCCCGGGUGGCGAAAUUGGUAGACGCGCUAGUUUCAGGUUCUAGUGCCGCGAGGUUUGCAGGUUCGACUCCUGUCCCGGGUA
rnacentral:tRNA from 1 species